AAGAGUAUGAACAAGACUACGACAUCUGUCUCCGUAAGAGCUUAGCAUGGGGCCUAGAGAGAUAAAGGAUAUGUCCCAGCUUAUUCCCCACUCAGCCUUCUGUGCCUUGGCCCUCCACAGGGUAAACUUCCAGGGUCUCAGCUGACUCUUCCGGAAAUUCCAGACUCCAGUGACAUGCUUCUGGAACCUUCUCAGACUGCCAGAAAGUCAGAUAACAGUCUGGGCAGGGGAAGGACUGCCACAGCCAGGCUGGCUAACGGGAAAGCUGAUGGGGACUAGAAGUUCAGGGAGACAUUGAGGGUUCCAGCACUCAUCAGCAGGGACUCAAAAACACUCGUCUGUCGGGUGAUCCAUAGGACCAAAACCUUGGGAGAAGACACGCAGAGCCAGCCACUAACAAAAUUGUGAAAUAAAGUGAAUUCCUACAAACCUG